rnacentral:rRNA from 1 species
ACGAACGCUGGCGGCGUGCCUAAUACAUGCAAGUCGAACGCUUCUUUUUCCACCGGAGCUUGCUCCACCGGAAAAAGAGGAGUGGCGAACGGGUGAGUAACACGUGGGUAACCUGCCCAUCAGAAGGGGAUAACACUUGGAAACAGGUGCUAAUACCGUAUAACAAUCGAAACCGCAUGGUUUUGAUUUGAAAGGCGCUUUCGGGUGUCGCUGAUGGAUGGACCCGCGGUGCAUUAGCUAGUUGGUGAGGUAACGGCUCACCAAGGCGACGAUGCAUAGCCGACCUGAGAGGGUGAUCGGCCACAUUGGGACUGAGACACGGCCCAAACUCCUACGGGAGGCAGCAGUAGGGAAUCUUCGGCAAUGGACGAAAGUCUGACCGAGCAACGCCGCGUGAGUGAAGAAGGUUUUCGGAUCGUAAAACUCUGUUGUUAGAGAAGAACAAGGAUGAGAGUAACUGUUCAUCCCUUGACGGUAUCUAACCAGAAAGCCACGGCUAACUACGUGCCAGCAGCCGCGGUAAUACGUAGGUGGCAAGCGUUGUCCGGAUUUAUUGGGCGUAAAGCGAGCGCAGGCGGUUUCUUAAGUCUGAUGUGAAAGCCCCCGGCUCAACCGGGGAGGGUCAUUGGAAACUGGGAGACUUGAGUGCAGAAGAGGAGAGUGGAAUUCCAUGUGUAGCGGUGAAAUGCGUAGAUAUAUGGAGGAACACCAGUGGCGAAGGCGGCUCUCUGGUCUGUAACUGACGCUGAGGCUCGAAAGCGUGGGGAGCAAACAGGAUUAGAUACCCUGGUAGUCCACGCCGUAAACGAUGAGUGCUAAGUGUUGGAGGGUUUCCGCCCUUCAGUGCUGCAGCUAACGCAUUAAGCACUCCGCCUGGGGAGUACGACCGCAAGGUUGAAACUCAAAGGAAUUGACGGGGGCCCGCACAAGCGGAGGAACAUGUGGUUUAAUUCGAUGAUACGCGAGGAACCUUACCCGGGCUUGAAUUGCAACUGAAUGAUGUGGAGACAUGUCAGCCGCAAGGCAGUUGUGAAGGUGCUGCAUGGUUGUCGUCAGCUCGUGUCGUGAGAUGUUGGGUUAAGUCCCGCAACGAGCGCAACCCUUAUUGUUAGUUGCCAUCAUUUAGUUGGGCACUCUAGCAAGACUGCCGGUGACAAACCGGAGGAAGGUGGGGAUGACGUCAAAUCAUCAUGCCCCUUAUGACCUGGGCUACACACGUGCUACAAUGGGAAGUACAACGAGUCGCAAAGUCGCGAGGCUAAGCUAAUCUCUUAAAGCUUCUCUCAGUUCGGAUUGUAGGCUGCAACUCGCCUACAUGAAGCCGGAAUCGCUAGUAAUCGCGGAUCAGCACGCCGCGGUGAAUACGUUCCCGGGCCUUGUACACACCGCCCGUCACACCACGAGAGUUUGUAACACCCGAAGUCGGUGAGGUAACCUUUUGGAGCCAGCCGCCUAAGGUGGGAUAGAUGAUUGGGGUG